UGGCCUUGAUGAAGCUCUUUGUGCCAAAGGCGGCAGCUUUUGAGCUCCGUCGAUGACGGUCACAACCCUCUAAGAAGUUCUGAGCGU